UGCAAGUCGCACGAGAAAGGUUCCUUCGGGAGCUGAGUAAAGUGGCGGACGGGUGAGUAAUGCAUAGACAACCUACCCUUGAGAUGGGGACAACACUCCGAAAGGAGUGCUAAUACCCAAUACUGUCAUUCGCCUGCGGGCGCAUGAUGAAAGGAGGCCUCUGUUUUAAGCUUCCGCUCAGGGAGGGGUUUAUGUCCUAUUAGCUUGUUGGUGAGGUAAAGGCUCACCAAGGCGACGAUGGGUAGCCGGCCUGAGAGGGUGUUCGGCCACAUUGGGACUGAGACACUGCCCAGACUCCUACGGGAGGCUGCAGUCGAGAAUCUUCCGCAAUGCGCGCAAGCGCGACGGAGCGACGCCGCGUGGGUGAUGAAGGCCUUCGGGUUGUAAAACCCUGUCAGUUGCCAAGAAUUGCGGGUCGUGAAUAGCGAUCCCGUUUGACUAAGCAGCAGAGGAAGCACCGGCUAAAUACGUGCCAGCAGCCGCGGUAAUACGUAUGGUGCAAACGUUGUUCGGAAUCACUGGGCUUAAAGCGGGCGUAGGCGGUUUGGUAAGUCUGUUGUGAAAGCCCUCGGCUCAACCGAGGAACUGCAACGGAUACUGCCAAACUAGAGUGCAGGAGGGGAGAGUGGAAUUCCUGGUGGA
rnacentral:rRNA from 1 species